CAGAAUGUCUCGAAGAUUUAGUCUCAUUCAUUAUAGAAGAACCACCUCAAGACAUGGAUGAAAAGAUCAGAUACAAGUAUCCAAAUAUAUCUUGUGAGUUGCUCACUUCUGAUGUCUCCCAGAUGAAUGAUAGACUGGGAGAAGAUGAAUCCUUGCUAAUGAAAUUAUAUAGCUUCCUCCUAAACGAUUCCCCUUUGAAUCCGCUACUUGCCAGUUUCUUCAGCAAGGUGCUAAGUAUUCUUAUCAGCAGAAAACCAGAACAGAUUGUGGAUUUCUUAAAGAAGAAGCAUGAUUUUGUAGACCUUAUUAUAAAGCACAUAGGAACUUCUGCUAUCAUGGAUUUGUUGCUCAGGCUCCUGACGUGUAUUGAACCUCCACAGCCCAGGCAAGAUGUGCUGAAUUGGUUAAAUGAGGAGAAAAUUAUCCAGAGGCUUGUGGAAAUAGUUCAUCCAUCGCAAGAAGAAGAUGUAAGUUCACUUGUGUGACUGUAAACUUGAUUA
rnacentral:sRNA from 1 species